UCCCAGAGUGUUGAGUUCAUACAA
rnacentral:miRNA from 1 species